rnacentral:snoRNA from 1 species
UGGAGAUAUAUACACACAGAGUGCAAUGAAUGGAGAUAUAUACACAGAGUGCAAUGAAUGGAGAUAUAUACACAGAGUGCAAUGAAUGGAGAUAUAUGCACUCUGUGUAUAUAUCUCCAUUCAUUGCACUCUGUGUAUAUAUCUCCAUUCAUUGCACUCUGUGUGUAUAUAUCUCCAU